AGGAGGAAAUGCCUGACUACGGUAGGGAAGUAUGAAAAAGGAUGUUUUCUAUAAAAAGAGCAUUUAGGUGGUGCGGUGCUGUGUAUGCCUCGGAGGGGUUUGGAUUUAAUCCUAAACACUCUGGGGAGCUAAUGAAGAGUUUUCAGUGGGAGUGAUAGGAUCACAUUUAGACUUUAGAUUGGAGGGAACAGUUGAUCAUUUCGGCGAUAGGAUGCGUGGAAAACAUUUGCUGAGCCGCUGAAAGGAGGUUGUGAGGGCCGCUGCCUGGGAAGGCGCCUCGGGCAUUGCUACUCUGAUCUAAAAGAGCAGCCAUGAAGACCUGAAGGGGACGGUAGAAUGGAGAAGGAAGUCCAUUGGAAGUACUGAACAGGAGCGCUGUUGUGUAGGAAGAAACUGGUUUGUGUUACACUCUGGAUCUGGAAGGUCACCAGAAGCUGGUGGUCCCCAUCGUGGCAGUGUUCAGACGUGAAACCUUUGGAAGGUGAUUGGAUCAUGAGGGCUUUAUCAGCAGAUCAACCCACUGAUGAAUUCAUACUCUGAUGGCAUCAUCGGGAGGUGGCAGAGACUCCAGGAGAUCCAGCCUAGUGGGAGAAGUGCUUCAUCCAAGGCUGGCCCUGGAAGCUUUGGAUCUGUGACUUGAGUUGGACAGUGGAGCACAGGUGGCUAUGACGAACAUGCAGCAUGCAGAAGCUUUGAAUGUCAUGGUUGGAUCAAAACCGUGGUCUUGCAUAUGCCAGGGAUGUGUGUGUCACUGAGGGAUAUUCCAAGCUUCUCAUUUUUCUGGUUAGGACGUCUGGUACCAUUUUGGAUAAAAUUUAGAAAAUUUGGAUUUCUUUUCCUAUGUGAGCUGCUUCAACUCAACUGGACACCUUUCAGACAAGACCUCUAUGAUAUAUAGGGCCAGUCUCCUCUCAACAAGGAACCUCUGAGAAAAGGUUAUAGAACAUUAACCCAGGAUGAUGAACCUGCUCAUCUGAUGUGUCAUGCCCUGGGCCUGGAGAGUCAGCUGUGAUUAACAAGAGUCCAAUGCCAUUGGAGUGAAACCUUUGCAUUACUGGGACAAUAGAUGGUGCUCAGCUGGAGCUAAGAAAUCACCAGUAAUGAAGAAGAGACUAGAAUCCCUGAGGUAAAAUCUCCUGGUCAGCGUUUCAUCAGAGUCAGCACACACAGCCGUGUUCCAGAGGCAGCCAAGGCCGGACCUUGCACAGGCAGCCAAGAUGAAUAUUCGUGGUAAAUCUUGGCGAGAUGCACUCUGGAAAUAUUCGUUGUGUUGGCUGUAUCUGCACUGUCCAUUUUCAGGUGAAGAAGUUAAUGUUUUAUUAGAUGACCAAUAUUUGGCAAAAAUUAAAAAUCUGCAAGAAAGAAGCAUCCAGACCUUGGCCUCUAUGAAGCCCUCUUGCCUUCUAAGCUCUUCUCCACUCUCAGGGGACUGUUAUCCAGCCUAAGCAAAUGAAUUACUCAUUGCAGAGUGUGAACCAAGUAAUUCUUCUUCCAUCACCACAAACCCCUGCCCCAAACAAAAACUACAACCCCCCAAACAUUAAAAACCUACACAACCCUACUGCCCCUCCCUAUAACUAAGAAAGAAACUUGGCCAAGAGAAACAAAGAUACAUUCCUUAUGUCAUUGAAACAUGUGAUAAAUUCAGUUUGUAGUUAAGUAAAAUUGUAUUGAGACAUAUAGCACACUAAAACCCUGUUUGCUGAGCCAGCAUGGAAAGGGAUAUGCUUACUUAUUUUUUCAAUUAUGUUCCUAACAACUAUAAUGUGUGUGUGUGUGUGUGUGUGUGUGUGUGUGUGUGUGUGUGUGUGUGUGUAUGUGUGUGUGUGUUUGGCAAAGCCUCUAAGAAGGAAAGUUUUGAUAGGCAGUUUUUAUUCUAUUAUUUUCUACUUUUUUGGUUUUUGAGAUAAGGUCUCAGUAUAUGCUCUAGGCCACUCUGAAAUUCACUAUAUGGCCCAGGCUGUCCUCAUAUUCAUGAUUCCCCUGCCUCUGACUCCUGCUUGCUGAGAUCAUAGACUUGUGCUACCAUACCUAGUAGAGUUUUUAAAUGGAAGAAAAAAUAUUAAUACGGGGAAACGCCCCUACUCCAGUCUGUAAAUGUUUACAAUGAUCAUGGAACUGUAGGAGGAGUCUUGAUCUUAGAAAAUAAAGGACUCAGAUUUAAGUAAUUAUUAUGUUCCAAGACCUCCUGCAAGCCACCCCACAUCUUAGAGGCCUAGCUUCCUUACCCAGAAGCAUGAGAAUCCUAGUGCAGCUCCCAGAAUUGUUGGAUGAGUUGUCUGAGUUGAUUGAUGGCUGUGGUGGUUUGAAUAAGAAUGGCCCCCAUAGGCUUAUAUAUUUGAAUGCCUAGUCACCAAGGCAUGGAACUCUUUCGACAGGAUUAGAGGCGUGGCCCUGUUGGAGGAAAUGUGUCACUGUGGGUGGGUUUUGAGGUUUUAGAAGCCUAAACCAGGCCCAGUGUCAAUUGUCUCUCAGCUUGUGGACCAGGAUGUAGUUCUCAGCUACUGCUCAGUGCCAUGCCGGCCACCAUGUUUCCUGCUGUGAUGACCAUGGACUAAGCCUCUGAAACUGUAAGCCAGCCCCCAGUUAAAUGCUUUCUUUCAUAAGAGUUGCCUUGGUCACGGUGUCUCUUCCCAGCGAUAGAACAGUGACUAAGACAAUGGCAAACUAACACUUAGGGAUACUAAUGGCUUUAUUAUAAAAUUUGAUCAGAGCGAUUAAUACAUGACAUCUGUCCAACACAUUUCUACAAAAGUCUACGCUUUCUGUCAGUAGAUUUCCCUGAGUUGUGAGACACUAGGAAGUAGAGCCACAAGCAGGAAGUGAGUGGGAAAGGACAAUGUUUACUUAUAAUAGGGCUAGUCUGUUCUUUGACCCUCACAUGUAAGUUAUCCCAAAUUGGCAUCAAGGGGUACGCCCUUAUUAUGAGCUUGGACUUUUUGAAUAGUCAAACUUCUUCCCUUUUCCUCUGGUUUCAUUCACCUCACCAUUCAGACUUUGAACGAUGGCUGUUAAUAACUGGGGACACCCUUGCCUGCUGGUUUUUUUUUUUUUUUUGAGCUGAGGAUCGAACCCAGGGCCUUGUGCUUGCCAGGCAAGUGCUCUACCACUGAGCUAAAUUCCCAACCCUGCCUCCUGUUCUUAUGCAUACUUUAUUGUAUACUGGAGAUCAGAUUUGCUCUCCUUUGUGGAUUUAAAACAUCUAAAUGCUCAGGGGUUAAAGGCCUGCUCCUAAUGUGGUGCUAUUGGGAGACAGUGGAACCUUCAAGAGGUGGGGCUGGUGCGAAGAAAUUAGGGCAUACCAUAGUGUGGAACCCUCUUCUCUUUCGUUAUGCUCUGGCUGUGCAGUGAAUGAUUUGUUACACAAUUCUGUGAUGAGAUGCAGCCUCACCCUGGGCUCCAAAGCAAUCAUUGGAUCAUGGACUGAAGCCUCCAUAAUCAAAUCUUUCUCAUUCUUAAGUUAUGUAUCCAAUGUUUUGUUAAAGUAAUGGAAAACUGACUAAUAUAAUAAUGCACAUGUAAUUUUGCAUGCUAGCCUUUACACAUAAAACCAUAUGUAGAUAUUUUCCUAUUUCUUUAACUUUCUGUAAAUCAUAUUAGCAGACGAAGAACAUAUAUUGGGUACAUUCUAAUUGACUUAGACAAUUACAUUACCCAUUAAAAAAUUUAUUUACUUUUA